GACGAAGGUGGCGAGCGUUGUUCGGAAUCACUGGGCAUAAAGCGCACGUAGGCGGUGGCGUAAGUCGGGUGUGAAAUCCCUCGGCCCAACCGAGGAACUGCGCCCGAUACUGCGUUGCUUGAGGACCAAAGGGGUGCAUGGAAUUUCCGGUGGAGCGGUGAAAUGCGUUGAUAUCGGAAGGAACGUCGGCGGCGAAAGCGGUGCACUGGUUGGUCUCUGACGCUGAGGUGCGAAAGCCAGGGGAGCAAACGGG
rnacentral:rRNA from 1 species